GCGCACAUUUCACUGUCUUUUUUUUAUAUUAAGAGAAAAGAUAUUUCUGAUGAGCUAAAUAAACCUCUGGAGAUGAAUGAGCAGCAUAACUAAUUUACCCAUUACUGUCUGUCAUCUUCAGACAACA
ensembl:snoRNA